rnacentral:tRNA from 2 species
GCGUCCUUGGUGUAACGGUAGCACAGCUGAUUCCAAACCAGCUAGGUCAGGGUUCAAAUCCUUGGGGGCGUG